AAUGAACGCUGGCGGCAGGCCUAACACAUGCAAGUCGAACGGAUCCUUCGGGAUUGGUGGCGGACGGGUGAGUAACGCGUGGGAACAUACCCAAAGGUACGGAAUAGCCUCGGGAAACUGGGAGUAAUACCGUAUGUGCUCGAAAGAGGAAAGAUUUAUCGCCUUUGGAUUGGCCCGCGUUGGAUUAGGUAGUUGGUGGGGUAAUGGCCUACCAAGCCGACGAUCCAUAGCUGGUUUGAGAGGAUGAUCAGCCACACUGGGACUGAGACACGGCCCAGACUCCUACGGGAGGCAGCAGUGGGGAAUCUUAGACAAUGGGGGAAACCCUGAUCCAGCCAUGCCGCGUGAUCGAUGAAGGCCUUAGGGUUGUAAAGAUCUUUCAGGUGGGAAGAUAAUGACUGUACCACCAGAAGAAGCCCCGGCCAACUCCGUGCCAGCCGCCGCGGUAA
rnacentral:rRNA from 1 species